rnacentral:lncRNA from 1 species
AAUAACCCUUGGGACAUAAAGAAGGCUAGAUCAAUUGAUUAAUUCCUUAUAACAAAUCCCUCUGUAUUACCUUUCAAUAAACCCAAAGCAUGUUGAUCUAUCAACCCUUAAGCCACAAAAUCAAAACAAUUGAACAAGUCCGUUAUCUGAUGAUAUAACUGAGGUAUCCUAAUGGUAUUCUAUAUCGAUUAUUUUACUGGUAAGCAUAGAGAAAUUCAUUAAGCAUGUAUUGAAAGACUAAUAUCAUCGAUAGGAAACAUGGACCAUGUUGAUAGAACUCAUUAUCAUCUGAUACUAAAUCUGUCAGAUAAGUAAGCAAAGUAAAAUAUCAGUGGCCAAAGAUCAUUGAAAAUAAAUAAAAUUAAACCUUAUCCUAUUCCAAAUGCUGACACAAUAAAUUCUAUAAAAC